rnacentral:rRNA from 1 species
ACUCCUGCGGGAGGCAGCAGUGGGGAAUAUUGCACAAUGGGCGCAAGCCUGAUGCAGCCAUGCCGCGUGUAUGAAGAAGGCCUUCGGGUUGUAAAGUACUUUCAGCGGGGAGGAAGGCGAUAAGGUUAAUAACCUUGUUGAUUGACGUUACCCGCAGAAGAAGCACCGGCUAACUCCGUGCCAGCAGCCGCGGUAAUACGGAGGGUGCAAGCGUUAAUCGGAAUUACUGGGCGUAAAGCGCACGCAGGCGGUCUGUCAAGUCGGAUGUGAAAUCCCCGGGCUCAACCUGGGAACUGCAUUCGAAACUGGCAGGCUAGAGUCUUGUAGAGGGGGGUAGAAUUCCAGGUGUAGCGGUGAAAUGCGUAGAGAUCUGGAGGAAUACCGGUGGCGAAGGCGGCCCCCUGGACAAAGACUGACGCUCAGGUGCGAAAGCGUGGGGAGCAAACAGGAUUAGAUACCCUAGUAGUCCCAUGA